AUUUUCGGGGUAUGGGCCCGAGAGCUUAAAUUAGCUUACCUUACUAGAAUUUAGUGUAAUUGGUAGCACUAAGAAUUUUGAGUUCUUAAGUUAGGUUCGAGUCCUAUAAUUCUAGAAAUAAAAGGGCUAUACAGAUAGGAAGAG